AUUGAACGCUGGCGGCAGGCCUAACACAUGCAAGUCGAGCGGAUGACGGGAGCUUGCUCCUUGAUUCAGCGGCGGACGGGUGAGUAAUGCCUAGGAAUCUGCCUGGUAGUGGGGGACAACGUUUCGAAAGGAACGCUAAUACCGCAUACGUCCUACGGGAGAAAGCAGGGGACCUUCGGGCCUUGCGCUAUCAGAUGAGCCUAGGUCGGAUUAGCUAGUUGGUGGGGUAAUGGCUCACCAAGGCGACGAUCCGUAACUGGUCUGAGAGGAUGAUCAGUCACACUGGAACUGAGACACGGUCCGGACUCCUACAGGAGGCAGCAGUGGGGAAUACUGGGCAAUGGGCGAAAGCCUGAUCCAGCCAUGCCGCGUGUGUGAAGAAGGUCUUCGGAUUGUAAAGCACUUUAAGUUGGGAGGAAGGGCAGUAAGCUAAUACCUUGCUGUUUUGACGUUACCGACAGAAUAAGCACCGGCUAACUCUGUGCCAGCCGCCGCAGUAA
rnacentral:rRNA from 1 species